CCCAGCCUACGGGGCGCAGCAGUAGGGAAUCUUCCACAAUGGGCGAAAGCCUGAUGGAGCAACGCCGCGUGGGUGAAGAAGGUCUUCGGAUCGUAAAACCCUGUUGUUAGAGAAGAAAGUGCGUGAGAGUAACUGUUCUCGUUUCGACGGUAUCUAACCAGAAAGCCACGGCUAACUACGUGCCAGCAGCCGCGGUAAUACGCAGGUGGCAAGCGUUAUCCGGAUUUAUUGGGCGUAGAGGGAACGCAGGCGGUCUUUUAAGUCUGAUGUGAAAGCCUUCGGCUUAACCGGAGGAGUGCAUUGGA
rnacentral:rRNA from 1 species